rnacentral:lncRNA from 1 species
AAAAAGAUGAUGUGUGGGGUCCAUCCAAUGGCAGGCAAAUUCAACCAAAGCUAGCAAAGGAAGAAUUUGCUUUGUCCAAAUAAUAAAACUGCUCAAAUGCGUCAUCUAUAUGGACCUUAUUAGCAUUAGUGGACUAUCCUUGUUUUAUUUAUAUAUAGGCCCUGUUUGGUUCCACCAACUAAAUUUUAGCUAGCUAAAAUUAUUUUAGCUACUCUUGGGUGACUAAUGGAACUAAACUAUUUUAGUCUCUUUUAGUCAAUGUGUUUGGAACUUUAGCUACUAAAGUGACUAAAGUUUAGCUAGCUAAAAUUUAGUUGGUGGAACCAAACAGGGCCAUAGAAAGACGUUAAUUUAAUUUACAGCACGGAGCUUGGUCUAAUUGGACGGAUGCACGCAUGCGUGGACUGCAAGCUCCUCUACCAUAUAUAACCAUUGUUAAUGACAUCUCUUGUCACCGUUUUCUUUAUGAAUCAGGAGGGCGAGGGCCCUACUGUAAAAUGACGUUAAUCAAAAGGAAAAUCUGAGGAGGUUUGUUUCAAUAAAAGAUGAAAUUAAGAGACAAAGAAAGAAAGAAAGAAAGAAAAGGAAAAGGAAUCCGAAAACCAAAUUGAGGGAGGCUCUUCUUCUUGGCUAUAUGCCUAUAUGCAAAAGCAAGGAAAGCUCCUUAAAGAAGUUUGACUUGCAAGCCAAAAUGUUCUAGCUGAUUCGAUUUAAGAUCUGGUUAUUCAUAGCGGUCCAAAUUGUCCAAGCCAUUGAUAUAUGAAAAAGAGGAGGGAGGGAGGCGACUCUUGAAGUUAUUUAUGGUUUCAAAAAAAUACUAAUGUUGGUUGGGCAUAUAUCAGAUUUAAAUCAAGCCCCUUCUUUUAACAAAGGGGCAGUCCAGGAGUAGGUGUUCAAGGAUUUCUUUAGUGUUUAAGGA